ACCAGUGAAUAAAAUUUCCUCCACUUUACGCACUGGCAACUUAAAGCAAGAUGUCUUAUCUACGAUCUCAGUUGGUAAGGAAGGAACUGGAUUGGCUUCUAGACUAGCAUGUUCUACAUUAAAGACCAGUAUCUCAACAAAUAAGUGCAGCCCAUAGACCAGUGUUUGGCAUUUGCCUUUACUUUAUAAAAAUACACAACUUAAAUACAUAUGACACUCUCUAUACAAGACAUAAACAGCUGUUAGAUUUAACAUUUUCCGUUAGUUCAACAGAAAGCAAGUAUGUAAAUUACUUCGUAAGAGCAAAGGGUUUCUUUAGAGACUGUGCAUUCCCGGCCCAAGGGCAGACCACCCCGCAGGCCAUCGAUGCAGGAAGCUCACCCAAACUGUCCAACUUUCCAGCGAGUCAUUUCACCAACAUGGCCUUUAUUGCACGGCUUCCUAUUGCACUGCUUGUCAGACAUAAUCUAACUUACCCACACCACAAGUUUAAGCUUUCGUCUUCUCUAGAAAUGCUUAAUGGAAAAACCAACGUAUAAACAGUAUUAACUGUCUCCUACAAUUGUGCUAAGUACCAAUCAUGAGAAAUAUGAACCCCUCUUCACUUUGCAAAACUUGCAAUGGAAGGUGGUUAGCUGUAUUUCGCUGCUAAAUUCCUCUGCAAAAGUUUUACAAAAACGUUGGCAGACUCAGAGUGAGCUAUGUGGAGUGUGGUGGAGAGAGACUGACAUCCCAGGGUGCACUGAAAUUGCUUAUAGGACAGGCACUGUUCCUGUCAAAGGCAAUGUGCGCACGGCCCUACCCUUUCGAACUUGAGACCAAAAUACCUCCCUCCCCCUUGAGAUUCUGUCAUUGUUCUAUGAGGAACAGCUACCUCAUUACUGAUUCAGAGCUUACAGGGCUGCCCACUUACUGUGGCUUUCUUUCAGAAAUUUAGCUGCCUUAUCUAUGGCUCAUUUAGCGAACAGUGAAUUAGGUACUAAUUUAUCAGUAUAAAGAAAUAUUUACCAGUUGAGAAUUCAAUGUGAAAAAAAAACAUACUAGAGUGAGUUUCCUGAGGUAAAUGUAAGCCUUAAAGAAGAGAGUGCAAUCUACAGAAUUACAGCAAUUUAUCUUGGGUAGCACCACAAUACCCCCAAGUCUGGACUUUACCGAGCACAAAUUUAUGUGAAGAAAUAAAAUGAUAAUGCUGAAGUAAAAGAAAUGUUGACAGUUGAGAAUAUCAAUUCAAAAGGAGGCAGGAAAGAGGAACAGAGGAACAAAAGGAGGGUAUAUUUUAAAGUUCUUAGGUAGGUUGGACAAUUAAUUUCAAAAGCCUCCAGGUAUUUCUAACAAGUUUUAAAAGUGUUAAUUCUUGGUGACUCAAAUGCAGAAGAAAUGGCUUUUCUUGAAUAAUAGCUGUUCGAACUUUUUCUUUUUUUGAAAAACAUGACUUUCUAUAAAAAUUUUUUUAGCCAUUGAAAUUAUUCUCCUAGUUAUUACUCUCACUGAUGUAUUGUGCAAUCCUAACUGGCUGAAGAAUUUUAAUAAGGUUGAACUACAAAGUACAUAUUUGCACCAAGAAUUUAAAUUAAUGCACAGAGGUCUGUAAAAUUUUGUAUGAAGUUACUUUUCAUUGCCGAUCAGGCUUCAUUACUUCUUGAUAUUCUACUCAAGGAUUACGGAAAUCAGAAAAAUUCUAGGACCCUGAAGCUUAACUUUCUUUUACAUAAAUGAAGUAGUACAUGGCCAUCCUUAACAUUAAUAAUCAAGGUGCUGGGAACUGAGCCUCAAGACCUACGAAUCAAGAUCAGGCUAAAUUUCAACAAGUCACUCAUUAUAUAAGGAUAUGAAUGGAAGCACUAAAGAUCUCUCUCUGCUAUAACUGCUCAUCUGCACCAUGUAGUUGAAUAAGGUGACCAAUCUAGUGUUUAAUAACAACAAUGAAAACUGGCACCAGUUUUUACCCAGGGCCACAUACUCAGUCAUGAGUAUGUCAUGUCAAUUUGGGCUGAUACCACCAUGCACAGUCCCUCAUAAAUAUGACCCUCCUAAGUCCUGCUGUAAGAACAGAUCUAUGUUUAAUUACUUUAGGCAUGAUGAAGGCCUUAAGCAAAAUUUAGGCCCCGAAGAACUUUGGGCUGGAAUUCUACAGGCCCAGAGCUAGUUAGAAUUAAAAGGCCAGAGGAAAAUCCCACAAGAAAUCAUACUCGUAUCUCAAUUUAUAG